UCCCAGGGCACCUGAGGAAGAAAGGAGGGGGGCAGGUGAGUGUUGGGGACCCUGCCUCUGUCAGUGAGGAGGCAGCCAGUCAGGGUGGGGGCCUGUGCCACGGCAGUAGCUGCUCCCCUUCCUCACCCACAGGCCCACUUGUCCAGGUCCAAGGGGUCUUCAGGCUCUGGCGCACGUGGCAAGGUGCCCUCCGCCCACAGAGCUCCGCAGGAAGUGAAGCAUCUGCUGGUGUGUAGAGCACCCCGGUCCCUGCCUGUGCCCUCCUCACCCCACUCACUCACAGGAUGGGGGGGGCAUCCGUAGCUUUACCACCACACCCCACCCCACCACGUCCACUGCCGGCAUGAGCACUUCCAUUCCACAUCAAGAAUUGAAAUGCGGCUGCUGUGAACAUUUCUCCCCCUGAAGUGAAGUUUCUUUGUUUCAUUGUUUAUUUUAAUAGAUAUGAGCUUUUUAUUUUAUUUAUUUAUUAUCGGAUAGAGACAGAGAAAGUGAGAGGAGGGAGGUAGAGAGGGAGAGAGACAGAGAGACACCGAAGCCCUGCUUCACCAAUCGUGAAACUUUCUCCCUGCAGGUGGGGACUGGGGAUUUGAAGCUGAGUCCUUGAGCACUGUAACGUGAGUGCUUUACCAGGUGCACCACCACCUGGUCCCUUGGAUAUGGGAAUUUUACAUGGGACCGAGGAAAGGGAGGAGAGACAAGCUAGAGCUUCACUGCUUCAUAUGUGGCAUCAAGGAUCAAACUCAAAGUCCAGGGCUCUACCUGUGAGGUCUCUCUCCAGCUGUCCAGUUAGCCUUAUGUUCAAAAUGCAUCCAGUAGCUCUUUCUUUCAUUAGGACAAAAACUUUUUUUUUCUUUGCCACCAGGAUUAUCACUGGGGUUCAGUGCCUAAAUGUCAAAUCCACUGUUCCUGGUGAGGCUGAGGACCUUGAGCCCGAGUCCUUGAGCAUGGCAUAUGUGCGCUCCAGUGGGUCUUUCUUCGAAUGCCAUGAAUUGACCUGAUCAGAUUAGUUUUGUUUCCUUUUGUGGUGCCAGUGCCUGUGUGAUUUCCCCACUUCUGGGUUGACUUUCCUAUUCCCAUGCGGUGGCAGGAUUUGAACCUGGUUUACGUGCAUGGCAAGGCAUGCGUCCUUCCUGGUGAGCUAGCUCCUGGGUCCAGUCUCCUGACCCACCUUUCACAGCAGCUCUCACAAGUCUCGUGAGCAUAGACAGAUGACCUGCUUCAGGGAAGCCUCCACGAAGCAGGUUCCUUUCUGCAGCACUCACACCCCUGCUGAGAGCAAGCCCUCCCUCAACAUACACACAGUCCGGCACAGGUGGGAUGAAUGACAGCCUCACGUGAGAUCUUAAGUUUCUGCUGACUGUGUAAGUAAAAAAGGUAUUCCAGCAGGUGAUUCCAGCACAAACACUAAUUAUCAGCCAGGCAUUUUACUUUUUUUUUUCUUGAGAGACCAGAACACUGCUGAGUUUUGGCGUAUGGCGGUGCUGGGGAUUGAACUGAGACCUUAGGCUUGAAAGGCUUUUGCAGAACCAUUAGGCCAUCUCCCCAGCCCCAUUCUUGUUUUCGUACCAAACUUCUUUGAUUUGUUCCCCUUAUUUGGAGGGGCUGCACGUGGUGUGCCGCUGUGCUGGGCCGGGCCAUCCUGGUGCUCAAAGCUCUUAAAGGACCAGGUGAGCAUUUACGCUGUGCAGCCUCUGGCUCCCUGCCUGAAACAGCCACACACCUAAUUCCAAGUUUAAAAUCUCCAUUACUUCUCAUUCCUCUUCCUUUUCCUCUUCCUCCUCUUCGUCCUUCUUCUCAAGAGAGACAGAACAGAGCACUUUUUUUCUUUUUAUGUUUUUUUGUCUGUUUUUCUGUGGUGCAGUUCUCUGGAUUGUCAUGUAGUCACUAUUUGACUAGCUGGUUGGUUAUCUUCAGCCUCUGCUGAGCUGCUUUUUCUGCCUCUAAUCGACUUGCUUCUGCGGCACUUUCCCCACCCACCCCCAGCCCCCAGCCCCAGCCCCCACAGCGCUGCCCGGACCAGCAAGCCCAUGUCAGUCUGCAGGCCACUGUGGCAAGCGCUGAGCUCACUCUGAACUGGAAGGGGAGGGCCGGGCUCAGCGAGGGAGCACCAACCUGCAGAGUCGGAGGCAGGCUUCCUCAUGUGGCCCUUAGCCUGCGGUAGGCUGAGGCACACUGAGUACCUUCUCCAGCUCUCUUGCCCAACUCGGAGCCUGCCUGUGUACAUGUGUGUGAGAUGCGGAAACUUGUAAUAAAAGUCUUUAUUUCUCUUC